CACGUAGGGCGCAAGCGUUGUCCGGAAUUAUUGGGCGUAAAGAGCUCGUAGGCGGUCUGUUGCGUCCGCUGUGAAAACUCGGGGCUUAACCCCGAGCCUGCAGUGGAUACGGGCAGAUUAGAGGUAGGUAGGGGAGAAUGGAAUUCCCGGUGUAGCGGUGAAAUGCGCAGAUAUCGGGAGGAACACCGGUGGCGAAGGCGGUUCUCUGGGCCUUACCUGACGCUGAGGAGCGAAAGCGUGGGGAGCGAACAGG
rnacentral:rRNA from 1 species